ACCAGACUCCUACGGGAGGCAGCAGUGAGGAAUAUUGGUCAAUGGGCGCGAGCCUGAACCAGCCAAGUCGCGUGAGGGAAGACGGUCCUAUGGAUUGUAAACCUCUUUUGUCGGGGAGCAAAAGACGCCACGUGUGGCGUUCCGAGAGUACCCGAAGAAAAAGCAUCGGCUAACUCCGUGCCAGCAGCCGCGGUAAUACGGAGGAUGCGAGCGUUAUCCGGAUUUAUUGGGUUUAAAGGGUGCGUAGGCGGGCUUUUAAGUCAGCGGUAAAAAUUCGGGGCUCAACCCCGUCCGGCCGUUGAAACUGGGGGCCUUGAGUGGGCGAGAAGUAUGCGGAAUGCGCGGUGUAGCGGUGAAAUGCAUAGAUAUCGCGCAGAACUCCGAUUGCGAAGGCAGCAUGCCGGCUCCACACUGACGCUGAGGCACGAAAGCGUGGGUAUCGAACAGGAUUAGAUACCCUUGUAC
rnacentral:rRNA from 1 species